rnacentral:rRNA from 1 species
UACGGGGGGUGCGAGCGUUGUCCGGAAUCACUGGGCGUAAAGGGCGCGUAGGUGGUUUGAUAAGGGUGUGGUGAAAACUCGGGGCUUAACCCCGGGCCUGCAGUGGGUACGGGCAGACUAGAGUGCGGUAGGGGAGACUGGAAUUCCUGGUGUAGCGGUGAAAUGCGCAGAUAUCAGGAGGAACACCGGUGGCGAAGGCGGGUCUCUGGGCCGUAACUGACGCUAAGGAGCGAAAGCGUGGGGAGCGAACAGG